AGUGAACGCUGGCGGUAGGCCUAACACAUGCCAGUCGAACGGCAGCACAGUAAGAGCUAGCUCUUACGGGUGGCGAGUGGCGGACGGGUGAGGAAUACAUCGGAAUCUACUUUUUCGUGGGGGAUAACGUAGGGAAACUUACGCUAAUACCGCAUACGACCUACGGGUGAAAGCAGGGGAUCUUCGGACCUUGCGCGAUUGAAUGAGCCGAUGUCGGAUUAGCUAGUUGGCGGGGUAAAGGCCCACCAAGGCGACGAUCCGUAGCUGGUCUGAGAGGAUGAUCAGCCACACUGGAACUGAGACACGGUCCAGACUCCUACGGGAGGCAGCAGUGGGGAAUAUUGGACAAUGGGCGCAAGCCUGAUCCAGCCAUACCGCGUGGGUGAAGAAGGCCUUCGGGUUGUAAAGCCCUUUUGUUGGGAAAGAAAAGCAGCAGGUUAAUACCCCGCUGUUCUGACGGUACCCAAAGAAUAAGCACCGGCUAACUUCGUG
rnacentral:rRNA from 1 species